rnacentral:SRP_RNA from 1 species
GCCAGGCGCGGUGGCACAUGCCUGUAGUCCCAGCUACUCGGGCGGCUGAGGUGGGAGAAUCGCUUGAGCACACGAGCUCUGGGCUGUAGUGCGCUAUGCCAAUCGGGUGUCCGCACUAAGUUCAGCGUCAAUAUGGUGACCUCCAGGAGCAGGCAACCACCAGGUUGCCUAAGGAGCGGUGAACCAGCCCAGGUCGGAAACAGAGCAGGUCAAAACUCCCGUGCUGAUCAGUAGUGGGAUCGUGCUUGUGAAUAGCCACUGCACUCCAGCCGGGGCAACACAGCAAGACCCCAUGUCUU